rnacentral:miRNA from 3 species
CCCUUGAUUUCUCUGCCACUCC